rnacentral:rRNA from 1 species
UUAAAGUCUAACCUGCCCACUGAAAAUUUAAAUGGCCGCAGUAUUCUAACUGUGCAAAGGUAGCAUAAUCAUUAGUCUUUUAAUUGAAGGCUGGAAUGAAUGGUUGGACGAAAUAUUAACUGUUUCAUUUAAAUUUUUUAUAGAAUUUUAUUUUUUAGUCAAAAAGCUAAAAUAUAUUUAAAAGACGAGAAGACCCUAUAAAUCUUUAUAUUUUAUUUAUUUUAAUUAUAAAGAUUAUUUUUGUUAUAAUAAAUAAAAAUAUUUUAUUGGGGUGAUAUUAAAAUUUAAAAAACUUUUAAUUUUUAAAUCCAUUAAUAUAUGAAUAAUUGAUCCAUUAAUAAUGAUUAAAAAUUUAAGUUACUUUAGGGAUAACAGCGUAAUUUUUUUGGAGAGUUCAUAUCGAUAAAAAAGAUUGCGACCUCGAUGUUGGAUUAAGAUAUAAUUUUGGGUGUAGCCGUUCAAAUUUUGAGUCUGUUCGACUUUUAAAUUCUUACAUGAUCUGAGUUCAAACCGGCGUAAGCCAGGUUGGUUUCUAUCUUUAAAAAAUUGUAAUAUUUUAGUACGAAAGGACCAAAUAUUAAAAUAAUUAUAUUUUUAGUAAGAAUAUUAUUAAUGUAA